UUGAGCUUAAGUAACACCCAUUGGUAACACUUUAAAAAUUUCAUGAUUGUUUGAUUUUUACGUAACACUUUUGUAACAUUGUGGUAUUAGGUAACACUUUAUUGUAACACUUUGAUAUUAGGUAACACUUGGUUGUAACCCUUAAUUUUUUUUUAUUUUUUUUUUUAAGAAAACACUUUAUUCGAUAGGCUCAAUUUUUUUAAUCAAAAUCGACCCUUCAGUCACAACCUCACAAAUUUCUCCCCCCUCGUAUUUCUCCAACCCUCAAUAAAGCUUUGACCGUCUCUUUACGCUGCACCUCCUUACCUCUGCUUCCAUCGCUAUCACCUUCUCAGUAAUUAAACCAAUGAGUCUUUCCUUCGAUUUUCAUUUGCCAUUGACAAUGAAGCUCGAAAUCAAUGGAGGACAUUAUCUCUCCUUCCGAUAAGCAGGUCAUGGUCUCUAAAUUCCUUGAGAUCGCUGCUGGCCAGAGUGCCGAUACAAUCCGCCAAUUCUUGCAGGUUUUGAUUCCUAUUCUGAAACCAACUGGAUACACCAGUGCUGAUCCUUAUAAAAUGGAGUGAGAACCAUGAGAUAGAGCAUUGGAAGAUUAGAGACGAUGGAAACAAAAACUUCUGUUAUGUUACAAGACACAAGAAACAUGGUUGCAUAUAUGUGGCAACCAAUGUCACCAUUACUCUUUCUACUGUUACAGAUAUCUGUUGUUGUUGCUGAUGCCUGUCGAUGUCACUAGCUCACUGCUAUCUGCUGCUACUGCAGUCUGCUGUUUUCUCACUACUAUUGUUGUCUGAUCUGUUGCUGACUCUUGCUACUUCGGUUUGCUGCCAUUACUCUCUGCUACUGCUGGUUAUUGCCAACUGUUGUAUGCUACUGCUUGAAGCUGCCACUCCUGUAUACUACUGCUGGUUGCUGCUAAAGACUGCUACUAGCAGCUUCUGUUACUACUUCUGCCAUUUUGCUAUUUGCGUAGCUACUGCCAUUCUGCUAGCUAGUUGUGUAGCUGCUACUAUACGCUGUUAUUAAUGCUCUUUACUGUUAUCGCUAACUUUUUUUGAAAUUUGGAAGUUUUUUAUUUUUCCUUACUUUUUCCAAGCUAGAGAUCAAACUUAAUUCUCUUUGUGUUAGGAUUAUUAUAUUGUUUGGCCAAACAUUAUAAUUGGUGUUUAUGGAUUUUUUU